GACGUGGCGGGUGCCUAUACAUGCAGUCGAGCGAACAGAUAAGGAGCUUGCUCCUUUGACGUUAGCGGCGGACGGGUGAGUAACACGUGGAUAACCUACCUAUAAGACUGGGAUAACUUCGGGAAACCGGAGCUAAUACCGGAUAAGAUUUUGAACCGCAUGGUUCAAUAGUGAAAGACGGCCUUGCUGUCACUUAUAGAUGGAUCCGCGCCGUAUUAGCUAGUUGGUAAGGUAACGGCUUACCAAGGCAACGAUACGUAGCCGACCUGAGAGGGUGAUCGGCCACACUGGAACUGAGACACGGUCCAGACUCCUACGGGAGGCAGCAGUAGGGAAUCUUCCGCAAUGGGCGAAAGCCUGACGGAGCAACGCCGCGUGAGUGAUGAAGGUCUUCGGAUCG
rnacentral:rRNA from 1 species